UGGAUUUUCCUCGUGGCCAUAACACCCACCACCACCACCACCGCCACCGCCCAGGUCCGGAAGAAGAAGUGUACCCACCCGCAGCACGGCCACAUCCACCUCCCUACUAUGAAAACGAGCCGCCGCCACCGCCACCACCAGUAGUCCACCAUCCGCAUCCAGCCCCUUACUAUGCAAACGAGCCGCCGCCGCCACCGCAAGUGACCCAUGUUCACCAUGGAGGAGGUGCCGGAGGACCACAUCCCCCAGAUUUCCGCAACGAUCCACCACCACCACCACCACCUGUUGUUGAGCAUGUUUCCCAUCACUCCUUUCAUCC
rnacentral:lncRNA from 1 species